rnacentral:tRNA from 1 species
GGAUUGUGACUCAGUGGUAGAGUGCUCGCCUAGCACGGGCGGGACCCGGGUUCGAUCCUCAGCACCA